GUGGGCGUAGCUCAGUUGGUAGAGCAUCUGAUUUGUAAUCAGAGGGUCGGGGGUUCAAAUCCCUCCGCCGGCUCCA
rnacentral:tRNA from 1 species